AUACGGAGGAUCCGAGCGUUAUCCGGAUUUAUUGGGUUUAAAGGGAGCGUAGGUGGAUUGUUAAGUCAGUUGUGAAAGUUUGCGGCUCAACCGUAAAAUUGCAGUUGAAACUGGGAGUCUUGAGUACAGUAGAGGUGGGCGGAAUUCGUGGUGUAGCGGUGAAAUGCUUAGAUAUCACGAAGAACUCCGAUUGCGAAGGCAGCUCACUAGACUGUCACUGACACUGAUGCUCGAAAGUGUGGGUAUCAAACAGGAUUAGAUACCCUGGUAGUCCACACAGUAAACGAUGAAUACUCGCUGUUUGCGAUAUACAGUAAGCGGCCAAGCGAAAGCAUUAAGUAUUCCACCUGGGGAGUACGCCGGCAACGGUGAAACUCAAAGGAAUUGACGGGG
rnacentral:rRNA from 1 species